rnacentral:rRNA from 1 species
AGCUACUGCUAUCAGAGUUCGAUUAAGCCAUGUUAGUUGAGGGUGCUUUCCUUCGGAAGAAGGAGUAACCCGGCGGACGGCUCAGUAACACGUGGACAACUUGUCCUUUGGACCGGGAUAACCCCUGGGAAACUGGGGCUAAUACCGGAUAGAGCAUUGAUAGCUGGAAUGCAUGAUGCUCGAAAGCUGAGGCGCCAAAGGGUAGGUCUGCGGCCGAUUAGGUUGUUGUUGAUGUAAUGGAUCAACAAGCCUCCGAUCGGUAUGGGUUGUGAGAGCAAUAUCCCAGAGAUGGGUUCUGAGAGAAGAACCCAGGUCCUACGGGACGCAUCAGGCGCGAAAACUUUACAAUGUGCGAAAGCACGAUAAGGGAACUCUGAGUGCCUCCAAAGGAGGCUGUUCAGGUGUCUAAAAAGCAUCUGAAGUAAGGGCUGGGCAAGACCGGUGCCAGCCGCCGCGGUAACACCGGCAGCCCAAGUGGUGGCCACUUUACUGGGUCUAAAGCGUUCGUAGCCGGCUAUGUAAGUUCCUUGGGAAAUUUGACCGCUUAACGGUUAAGCUUCCAGGGAAUACUGCUUGGCUUGGGACCGGGAGAGGUCAGAGGUACCUCAAGGGUAGGGGUGAAAUCCGUUAAUCCUUGGGGGACCGCCAGUAGCGAAGGCGUCUGACCAGACCGGAUCCGACGGUGAGGGACGAAGGCUAGGGUAGCGAACCGGAUUAGAUACCCGGGUAGUCCUAGCUGUAAACGAUGCGGGCUAGGUGUUGGCAUUACUGCGAGUGAUGCCAGUGCCGAAGGGAAGCCGUUAAGCCCGCCAUCUGGGGAGUACGGUCGCAAGGCUGAAACUUAAAGGAAUUGGCGGGGGAGCACUACAACGGGUGGAGCCUGCGGUUCA